rnacentral:rRNA from 1 species
UGUGAGCUCGAUGAGUAGGGCGGGACACGUGGUAUCCUGUCUGAAUAUGGGGGGACCAUCCUCCAAGGCUAAAUACUCCUGACUGACCGAUAGUGAACCAGUACCGUGAGGGAAAGGCGAAAAGAACCCCGGCGAGGGGAGUGAAAAAGAACCUGAAACCGUGUACGUACAAGCAGUGGGAGCAUGCUUAGGCGUGUGACUGCGUACCUUUUGUAUAAUGGGUCAGCGACUUAUAUUCUGUAGCAAGGUUAACCGAAUAGGGGAGCCGAAGGGAAACCGAGUCUUAACUGGGCGUUAAGUUGCAGGGUAUAGACCCGAAACCCGGUGAUCUAGCCAUGGGCAGGUUGAAGGUUGGGUAACACUAACUGGAGGACCGAACCGACUAAUGUUGAAAAAUUAGCGGAUGACUUGUGGCUGGGGGUGAAAGGCCAAUCAAACCGGGAGAUAGCUGGUUCUCCCCGAAAGCUAUUUAGGUAGCGCCUCGUGAACUCAUCUCCGGGGGUAGAGCACUGUUUCGGCAAGGGGGUCAUCCCGACUUACCAACCCGAUGCAAACUGCGAAUACCGGAGAAUGUUAUCACGGGAGACACACGGCGGGUGCUAACGUCCGUCGUGAAGAGGGAAACAACCCAGACCGCCAGCUAAGGUCCCAAAGUCAUGGUUAAGUGGGAAACGAUGUGGGAAGGCCCAGACAGCCAGGAUGUUGGCUUAGAAGCAGCCAUCAUUUAAAGAAAGCGUAAUAGCUCACUGGUCGAGUCGGCCUGCGCGGAAGAUGUAACGGGGCUAAACCAUGCACCGAAGCUGCGGCAGCGACGCUUAUGCGUUGUUGGGUAGGGGAGCGUUCUGUAAGCCUGUGAAGGUGUACUGUGAGGUAUGCUGGAGGUAUCAGAAGUGCGAAUGCUGACAUAAGUAACGAUAAAGCGGGUGAAAAGCCCGCUCGCCGGAAGACCAAGGGUUCCUGUCCAACGUUAAUCGGGGCAGGGUGAGUCGACCCCUAAGGCGAGGCCGAAAGGCGUAGUCGAUGGGAAACAGGUUAAUAUUCCUGUACUUGGUGUUACUGCGAAGGGGGGACGGAGAAGGCUAUGUUGGCCGGGCGACGGUUGUCCCGGUUUAAGCGUGUAGGCUGGUUUUCCAGGCAAAUCCGGAAAAUCAAGGCUGAGGCGUGAUGACGAGGCACUACGGUGCUGAAGCAACAAAUGCCCUGCUUCCAGGAAAAGCCUCUAAGCAUCAGGUAACAUCAAAUCGUACCCCAAACCGACACAGGUGGUCAGGUAGAGAAUACCAAGGCGCUUGAGAGAACUCGGGUGAAGGAACUAGGCAAAAUGGUGCCGUAACUUCGGGAGAAGGCACGCUGAUAUGUAGGUGAAGCGACUUGCUCGUGGAGCUGAAAUCAGUCGAAGAUACCAGCUGGCUGCAACUGUUUAUUAAAAACACAGCACUGUGCAAACACGAAAGUGGACGUAUACGGUGUGACGCCUGCCCGGUGCCGGAAGGUUAAUUGAUGGGGUUAGCGGUAACGCGAAGCUCUUGAUCGAAGCCCCGGUAAACGGCGGCCGUAACUAUAACGGUCCUAAGGUAGCGAAAUUCCUUGUCGGGUAAGUUCCGACCUGCACGAAUGGCGUAAUGAUGGCCAGGCUGUCUCCACCCGAGACUCAGUGAAAUUGAACUCGCUGUGAAGAUGCAGUGUACCCGCGGCAAGACGGAAAGACCCCGUGAACCUUUACUAUAGCUUGACACUGAACAUUGAGCCUUGAUGUGUAGGAUAGGUGGGAGGCUUUGAAGUGUGGACGCCAGUCUGCAUGGAGCCGACCUUGAAAUACCACCCUUUAAUGUUUGAUGUUCUAACGUUGACCCGUAAUCCGGGUUGCGGACAGUGUCUGGUGGGUAGUUUGACUGGGGCGGUCUCCUCCUAAAGAGUAACGGAGGAGCACGAAGGUUGGCUAAUCCUGGUCGGACAUCAGGAGGUUAGUGCAAUGGCAUAAGCCAGCUUGACUGCGAGCGUGACGGCGCGAGCAGGUGCGAAAGCAGGUCAUAGUGAUCCGGUGGUUCUGAAUGGAAGGGCCAUCGCUCAACGGAUAAAAGGUACUCCGGGGAUAACAGGCUGAUACCGCCCAAGAGUUCAUAUCGACGGCGGUGUUUGGCACCUCGAUGUCGGCUCAUCACAUCCUGGGGCUGAAGUAGGUCCCAAGGGUAUGGCUGUUCGCCAUUUAAAGUGGUACGCGAGCUGGGUUUAGAACGUCGUGAGACAGUUCGGUCCCUAUCUGCCGUGGGCGCUGGAGAACUGAGGGGGGCUGCUCCUAGUACGAGAGGACCGGAGUGGACGCAUCACUGGUGUUCGGGUUGUCAUGCCAAUGGCACUGCCCGGUAGCUAAAUGCGGAAGAGAUAAGUGCUGAAAGCAUCUAAGCACGAAACUUGCCCCGAGAUGAGUUCUCCCUGACUCCUUGAGAGUCCUGAAGGAACGUUGAAGACGACGACGUUGAUAGGCCGGGUGUGUAAGCGCAGCGAUGCGUUGAGCUAACCGGUACUAAUGAACCGUGAGGCUUAACCUUACAACGCCGAAG